CCUUGCGCCUUGAAAAUAUCGAAUGUCGAUAUAGCUCCGCCACCUAUCGACCUUCUUGCUAAUUAGAGAUUUUAGUUGCCUAGUUCCACCAUAGAUGGCGUAGGCUUGUCGAUUAGCACCCGGUUGUCCCCCGCCCUUCCUUCGUCUAUUUUUAGCACGCCUCGAUACCGCGUUGCCAGCGCUCUCUGAGGCCUUCCCCCCCCCUCCCUCUCCCUCAGGAACCUUACUGGUUGAAACUUGCUUCUCUGUUCGUUCGUGUUCUUGGUUCGAUCAGUGCGUACUGCGUUGUUUCCUAAGCCCUUUUUGGAUUAUUUUUGGUAAAGGUCAGCUCCUCGGUGGAUUCUUGCCAUUCCUAGCCUUGUUGAAUUACAUCGGAAGAUUUGUCUUCUCCUCGCUGGUUGUAUUCAGAAUGGAGCCCUUACCUCCAAUCGAAGCUUGGGAUGCUCCGUCAGCUCAUGAGGAGUCUCGCUCUCCCACGCCACGACCCCCUCCGUCCUGCCCACUCUGUGGCCCUCUUCAUUCCCUUGGGGACUGUCCACAUUUAGCAAGCUCAAUCCUGCGAAUCGCCUCUCAAUUGUUAUCGGCAACGGGCUUUGUAUUAAUUGUUUGGGUCACACCGCGGCAGGUUGGCCUCGAGUUCGGUGCCACCUGAAGGCACAAUGCAGCUGCCAAGCACCACACCAUCCUCUCCUGCACGACAGUCGUAGAGUCGUGGUGCCAACCCCCCAGUUCCAUGGUGUGCGCGCCUCCCUCCGAGGUCGGCGAUCCCUCCCAGCCAUGCCUUACCUGGGUUUUCUGCACCCGCGUGCCCCAGCGCCGAAGCGCUAAGUCUGCGCUCGCCAUUGACCUUUUCUUUGUCGCCCUUGUAGUGUACCCUUUCCCUCCGUGUCUCGCCCUUAUCGUGUCUUAGUUUUUUUUCUUCGCCCUUGUAAAGUUCGCGCCCCACCGCUCGCGCCUCGCCCUCAUGUGCUUAGUUUUUCUUUUAACCUUGUCGCCCUUGUACCUCAGUUUCGUUUUGUAAUCCCUCCGUGAUUCCAAGGGGGGAGUAUGUUGGCGCCCUUGCGCCUUGAAAAUAUCGAAUGUCGAUAUAGCUCCGCCACCUAUCGACCUUCUUGCUAAUUAGAGAUUUUAGUUGCCUAGUUCCACCAUAGAUGGCGUAGGCUUGUCGAUUAGCACCCGGUUGUCCCCCGCCCUUCCUUCGUCUAUUUUUAGCACGCCUCGAUACCGCGUUGCCAGCGCUCUCUGAGGCCUUCCCCCCCCUCCCUCUCCCUCAGGAACCUUACUGGUUGAAACUUGCUUCUCUGUUCGUUCGUGUUCUUGGUUCGAUCAAGUGCGUACUGCGUUGUUUCCUAAGCCCUUUUUGGAUUAUUUUUGGUAAAGGUCAGCUCCUCGGUGGAUUCUUGCCAUUCCUAGCCUUGUUGAAUUACAUCGGAAGAUUUGUCUUCUCCUCGCUGGUUGUAUUCAGGUAGAAUUCAUGAAUUAUACCUCCCUCGAAAUCUAGCACCUAGGUCCCCAACCCCACUUUUAGGCCUUACCUCAUGGUUGCUAUUUUCAACCCCUACGAAUAGAAGUGUAUUUCAUCCCUUUGUUCCCUCUUUGCCCUACAUCCCCUUGAUUAGAGCUCAAAGAGAACGAACCCUACCCUUAGUCCCUUAUCCCUCGCCCUUAAGUCCCAAAUCCCCUGGAAGUUACAAGUUCAAGGUCAUGCUUUGACCCCUCAUGGAAAGCUAAGUUUUCAUCUAUGACUUCAUGAGCAAGUCUGGUCACCCAGGAAUAAUGGUUCGAUGGUCUCUGCACACUAAAACUCAAUGGUAAGCCUUCAUGUUCACUCAGACAUACUUUAUUAACCUCAUGACGAUCAAUGUACUAUGUAUGCCCAUACCCCCGCCCAUUUUCAGAUUCACCUAAGUCCAAAUUCUUAGGCCCCCAAAGAUACAGUCCACUUAAUCC
rnacentral:lncRNA from 1 species